CCUACGGGCGGCAGCAGUGGGGAAUAUUGGGCAAUGGAGGGAACUCUGACCCAGCAACGCCGCGUGAAGGAUGAAGGUUUUCGGAUUGUAAACUUCUGUCGCGAGGGACGAAGAAUGACGGUACCUCGUAAGAAAGCCCCGGCUAACUACGUGCCAGCAGCCGCGGUAAUACGUAGGGGGCGAGCGUUGUCCGGAAUGACUGGGCGUAAAGGGAGUGUAGGCGGCUGUGCAAGUUAGAUGUGAAAUCCCAUGGCUUAACCAUGGAACUGCAUCUAAAACUGCAUAGCUGGAGUGCAGGAGAGGUGAGUGGAAUUCCUAGUGUAGCGGUGGAAUGCGUAGAUAUUAGGAGGAACACCAGAGGCGAAGGCGACUCACUGGACUGUAACUGACGCUGAGGCUCGAAAGCGUGGGGAGCAAACAGGAUUAGAUACCCGAGUA
rnacentral:rRNA from 1 species